GGGGAUUCUGGGCCUGGUAGUUCCGACCUCAAGCGCAACCGCCCGCCGGCGGGCGCCGGAAGUGGGGCUCCUGAGACUGGUGGUUGGGCCACCGCGGGGCGCAGGUACCUCAGCGGUUUAACUUGGCCGUAGAGGCGCGGUUGUCACCUCAGGUUGAGAUUUUCGGGAGAAAACUGGAAAUGCUUUGUCACGAUACGAGUUUACACAGUCGCGAAGAAGGGCCCUAAAGCGGGAGGCCCUGCCAUGCCUCCACCUCAGAACCAGAGCCAAGAGCUGGCCGUUGUGGCGCCUUCUUCCCCCAUGGCCGCCUAACGGGGGCUUUCAUCGGUGGCUUCCGGGGAAACGCACAAAGGUGUCAGGGAAAACGAAGUCAGAGACCUCCAGUAAAUAAUGUCAGCCUGGAGCCCGUUGUACCCCUGCGCUUUUCACAACCCACGAAGAACCAUAGGUGAUUCCCUUUUUGAAAAACACCACCAGAUAACAGGGUUCAGUGAGAGGCCCUCUAGAGCACCAGUGUGGGGUUCUAAGCAAGAAAAUGUAGGAGAGCCUCGAAAUUUUUCAAAGAAAAGCGAGGAGGGCGGAGCCGUGAGGCUGUGUGGUGGAACUUUGUAUUUGGUGUUGACUGUACCAAGCUCUGUGAUGAAAAGGAAACCUUAAGAUUAAGACCCUCUCCUCUCCUUGGCACCGUACAGAAGAAAAAACUCAGAGGUUAAUCUACUUUCCUAAGCUUAUAAAGCUAAUUCAUAGCAGAACUAAAACUCAGGUGUCUCAAACUUCCCAUGGCCAAUGCUUUUUUACUUAAUAAUCGCAGUGACUCCAGGGAUGCAGUGAAUUAUGAGCUUCACUUCAAGUCUCGCUCUUCACUCGAGUGACAUUAUGAUUAAAGCUGAUUAAGAAUAUGGAAGUUCAAUAUGAAUCUUAUGUUGAUCUCAGAAUGGUUAUAGAAUCUUCUUUUCCAGAAAUGCCACAGCCUCUUGACACUUCUUAAAAAUCAGCAGGCACCUCUACUGUCUGUCAUGUCCAGAUUCUUGGAUGAAACGCAGGACAAAAUGUACAUUAAAGUUUGAAAGUGACCAGUGAAAAGGAAGAGGGAGAUAAAGAAAAUUUGAGAACCAGUGCUUCUGAGUAGUGCUUAACUGUAUCGAGAUCUGUACUGGCAACUAUGAGAUCCAAUAAACUCUAUUGAAUUGAGUUCCAGAUAAAGAAGUUGAUAAAGUUGCCCUUAUCAGUUUAAUUUCAAAGAACAAAAGGAAAAAUCUCUGAGCAAUUUUGGUGACUCUUCAAAAUCAGAAAUGCUCUGAUUUUUAUACAUACAGAGCUACAAGUAAGUCUUCUUUAUUUUAAUCUAGAUUUAAGGCAAGUAAAUGAGAACAAGACUCUUACUCAAAUACACAUGGACUUGGUUCACAGCAACAGGUCUUUCCCAGAAACAUUUUAAUUUUUUAAUAUA